rnacentral:rRNA from 1 species
AUUGAACGCUGGCGGCAGGCCUAACACAUGCAAGUCGAGCGGAUGAAGGGAGCUUGCUCCUGGAUUCAGCGGCGGACGGGUGAGUAAUGCCUAGGAAUCUGCCUGGUAGUGGGGGAUAACGUCCGGAAACGGGCGCUAAUACCGCAUACGUCCUGAGGGAGAAAGUGGGGGAUCUUCGGACCUCACGCUAUCAGAUGAGCCUAGGUCGGAUUAGCUAGUUGGUUGGGUAAAGGCCUACCAAGGCGACGAUCCGUAACUGGUCUGAGAGGAUGAUCAGUCACACUGGAACUGAGACACGGUCCAGACUCCUACGGGAGGCAGCAGUGGGGAAUAUUGGACAAUGGGCGAAAGCCUGAUGCAGCAAUGCCGCGUGUGUGAAGAAGGUCUUCGGAUUGUAAAGCACUUUAAGUUGGGAGGAAGGGCAGUAAGUUAAUACCUUCAUGUUUUGACGUUACCAACAGAAUAAGCACCGGCUAACUACGUG